AUUGAACGCUGGCGGCAGGCUUAACACAUGCAAGUCGAGCGGUGGCACAGGGGAGCUUGCUCCCUGGGUGACGAGCGGCGGACGGGUGAGUAAUGUCUGGGAAACUGCCUGAUGGAGGGGGAUAACUACUGGAAACGGUAGCUAAUACCGCAUAACGUCGCAAGACCAAAGAGGGGGACCUUCGGGCCUCUUGCCAUCAGAUGUGCCCAGAUGGGAUUAGCUAGUAGGUGGGGUAAUGGCUCACCUAGGCGACGAUCCCUAGCUGGUCUGAGAGGAUGACCAGACACACUGGAACUGAGACACGGUACAGACUCCGACGGGAGGCAGCAGUGGGGAAUAUUGCACAAUGGGCGCAAGCCUGAUGCAGCCAUGCCGCGUGUGUGAAGAAGGCCUUCGGGUUGUAAAGCACUUUCAGCGAGGAGGAAGGUGGUGAGCUUAAUACGUUCAUCAAUUGACGUUACUCGCAGAAGAAGCACCGGCUAACUCCGUG
rnacentral:rRNA from 1 species